AAUAGAUACCCCGGUAGUCCUAGCUGUAAACGAUGAGCACUGGGUUGAAGGGUCCUCCAUAGCCUUUCAGCCGCAGCGAAAGUGUUAAGUGCUCCGCCUGGGGAGUAUGGUCGCAAGGCUGAAACUCAAAGAAAUUGACGGGGGGCUCACACAAGCGGUGGAGGAUGUGGCUUAAUUCGAGGCUACGCGAAGAACCUUAUCCUAGUCUUGACAUGCACGGAUUAACCCCCUGGAAACAGGGGCCACGCCUUCGGGUGGAACGUGCACAGGUGCUGCAUGGCUGUCGUCAGCUCGUGCUGUGAAGUGUCGGGUUAAGUCCCUUAACGAGCGAAACCCUUGUCGCUAGUUGCCAGCGGGUCAUGCCGGGGACUCUAGCGAGACCGCCGGCGUUAAGCCGGAGGAAGGUGGGGAUGACGUCAAGUCCUCAUGGCCUUUAUGACUAGGGCUGCACACGUCCUACAAUGGUCUGCACAAAGGGACGCAAAAUCGUGAGAUCGAGCAAAUCCCAAAAAACAGGCCCCAGUUCGGAUUGCA
rnacentral:rRNA from 1 species